AUAUCUUGCACGAGGUCACACAGCUACCGCCAGAGAUCUUAAAACAAGCCUAUUGCCUGGCCAGCUUCACUCAGCAUGUCUUCAAGGAUGCUCCAUACUUCAACAUGCGUCACAGCUUCCUUCCCUUCCACAGAUGAGUAAUAUUCCACUGUAUAAAUGUGUAUCACAUUGUAUUUAUCUGCGCAUCUUCUGGUGGACAUUUAUAUAGUUCUACUUUUUGGUUACUGUGAACAAUGCUGCCACAAGUAUUGGUGUACAAGUGUCUCUUUGAGAUUCUUCUUUCAGUUCUUUGGGAGGCUGCACUAUCUUAUAUUCGUACCAGCAAUGUGUGAGGGUUCCAUUUUCUGUACUUCUCCAACACUUUUGUUUCUGCCCAUCCUGGUGGGGGGCAGGAAACAACAGGCAAAGUAAAGAACUAUUGUAAGGACAGUGUACAUAUAACGGGUCCUUUGAUGUGAGUAAUGCGGAAGAAAGACUGUAAUUAGAACAGUAUUUUUUGAUGGGAAAUUUGUGCAUUGUGUAGUGAGGAAAAUUUUCUGUUGGUAAAAAUGGAGAUUAUUUAAAUGCUCAUAAUAUAGAAAUGAUUAACAGAUUAUGAAAUAGCAGGCAGCAGAAUCAUAUGUAGUAUGUAGUGACAUGUAAUAGAGCAAAAUGUAUUAUUAAAUAAAAGUGAG